CCUACGGGGGGCAGCAGUGGGGAAUAUUGCACAAUGGGGGAAACCCUGAUGCAGCAACGCCGCGUGAGUGAAGAAGGUUUUCGGAUUGUAAAGCUCUGUCAGCAGGGAAGAGAAUGACGGUACCUGACCAAGAAGCCCCGGCUAAAUACGUGCCAGCAGCCGCGGUAAUACGUAUGGGGCAAGCGUUAUCCGGAUUUACUGGGUGUAAAGGGAGCGUAGGCGGCAGGGCAAGCCUGAU
rnacentral:rRNA from 1 species